rnacentral:rRNA from 1 species
GCGUGUGUGAAGAAGGCCCUCGGGUUGUAAAGCACUUUCAGCGAGGAAGAACGCCUAGCGGUUAAUACCCGCUAGGAAAGACAUCACUCGCAGAAGAAGCACCGGCUAACUCCGUGCCAGCAGCCGCGGUAAUACGGAGGGUGCAAGCGUUAAUCGGAAUUACUGGGCGUAAAGCGCGCGUAGGUGGCUUGAUAAGCCGGUUGUGAAAGCCCCGGGCUCAACCUGGGAACGGCAUCCGGAACUGUCAAGCUAGAGUGCAGGAGAGGAAGGUAGAAUUCCCGGUGUAGCGGUGAAAUGCGUAGAGAUCGGGAGGAAUACCAGUGGCGAAGGCGGCCUUCUGGACUGACACUGACACUGAGGUGCGAAAGCGUGGGUAGCAAACAGGAUUAGAUACCCUGGUAGUCCACGCCGUAAACGAUGUCGACCAGCCGUUGGGUGCCUAGCGCACUUUGUGGCGAAGUUAACGCGAUAAGUCGACCGCCUGGGGAGUACGGCCGCAAGGUUAAAACUCAAAUGAAUUGACGGGGGCCCGCACAAGCGGUGGAGCAUGUGGUUUAAUUCGAUGCAACGCGAAGAACCUUACCUACUCUU